rnacentral:lncRNA from 1 species
CAAAACCUCAUUUCUCAACUCUAAACCCUAAACCUUAAACUCUAAACCCUAAACCCUAAACUCUAAACCCUAAACCCUAAACCUUAAACUCUAAACCCUAAACCUUAAACUCUAAACCUUAAACCAUAAACCCUAAACCCUAAACCCUAAACCCUAAAUUCUAAACCCUAAACUCUAAACCCUAAACCCUAAAUCCUAAACCCCACC